AACGUAGGAGGCAAGCGUUAUCCGGAGUAACUGGGCGUAAAGGGCGGGUAGGUGGUUAUGUAAGUUGGUUAUGAAAGCUCCUGGCUAAACUGGGAGAGGUUGACCAAGACUGCAGAACUUGAGUGGAGAAGAGGUAAACGGAAUUCCGCGUGUAGUGGUGAAAUUCGUAGAUAUUCGCAAGAACACCAGUGGCGAAGGCGGCUCACUGGCCCGGUACUGACGCUGAGGCACGAAAGCGUGGGGAGCAAACAGG
rnacentral:rRNA from 1 species